AUGAACGCUGGCGGCGUGCCUAAUACAUGCAAGUCGAGCGAACGGACGAGAAGCUUGCUUCUCUGAUGUUAGCGGCGGACGGGUGAGUAACACGUGGAUAACCUACCUAUAAGACUGGGAUAACUUCGGGAAACCGGAGCUAAUACCGGAUAAUAUUUUGAACCGCAUGGUUCAAAAGUGAAAGACGGUCUUGCUGUCACUUAUAGAUGGAUCCGCGCUGCAUUAGCUAGUUGGUAAGGUAACGGCUUACCAAGGCAACGAUGCAUAGCCGACCUGAGAGGGUGAUCGGCCACACUGGAACUGAGGCACGGUCCAGACUCCUACGGGAGGCAGCAGUAGGGAAUCUUCCGCAAUGGGCGGAAGCCUGACGGAGCAACGCCGCGUGAGUGAUGAAGGUCUUCGGAUCGUAAAACUCUGUUAUUAGGGAAGAACAUAUGUGUAAGUAACUGUGCACAUCUUGACGGUACCUAAUCAGAAAGCCACGGCUAACUACGUG
rnacentral:rRNA from 1 species